CAAUAGCGUAUAUUAAAGCUGUUGCGGUUAAAAAGCUCGUAGUUGGAUUUCUGUCAAGGACAACUGGUCCGCCCUCCGGGUGAGCACAUAGUUUGGUCUUGACAUCUUGCUGGAAGCUGUUGCUGCACUUGGCUGUGUGGCGCAGUGUUCAGCACUUUCACUUUGAGGAAAUUGGAGUGUUUCAAGCAGGCACAUGCCUUUGGACACAGUAGCAUGGAAUAAUUAGAUUGGGCUUUUGCUCCAAUUUGUCGGUUUCUGGAGCCGAGGUGAGUAUUAAUGGGGAUUGUUGGGGGCAUCCGAAUUUAGCCGUCAGAGGUGAAAUUCUUGGAUCUGCUAAAGACGGACAACUGCGAAAGCGUUUGCCCAGGAUGUUUUCAUUGA
rnacentral:rRNA from 1 species